rnacentral:lncRNA from 1 species
CUCUUCACAUUGUUUUCCAACAGCUUGAAACCCUGCAAAAGCUCUUGGGGGUAAAGCCCCACCUGUUUUCCUUCAUCCAUGACCCCUGAGGACUCCACAGUGGGCAGAGGCCCCAGGCGCUCCCUGCACAGUGCUCACAGCACCCUAGUUGCCAGGUUAUUUGGUGAGUGUCUGUAGACACCCGAGGGCAGGUCCACAUGUUUGUUCAUUGCUGCUGCCCCAGGGCUAGACCCCCAGCGGGUGCUCCUACAACCCUAAGGCAGCAAGGAAUGGUCCCUGGGCUGGCCUUGUGUCCAGCUGAACACGGACUUAGUGGGGUACCCAGGCCUGGCGAGGGUGGGCUACAGAGACUUUGAGUAGCUGCUGGGGAGGGAGACCCCAGCACUGGCCCAGCAUCCAGAGGAAGCUAUUUCUAGCUCCAGGAAACAGGAAGUGAGUCAUGGCCU